rnacentral:tRNA from 1 species
GCCCUUGCAGAGUAGCCAGGAGUACUCGCCACCCUGUCACGGUGGAGACCGCGGGUUCAAAUCCCGCCAGGGGCGC